GAAAGGACUUCCUUUUUCCGGCGGAGUUGUAAGUUUGUGUGGGCGCGCCAGCCAUAGAGAGAGCCGGCGGAGAGAGGCUAGAGUAGUCAUCAGGCAGCUGGUUUUACAGCUCAGUUCCAUACACGGAAGCAGGGCAAAGCAGAUGUGAUGGGGAGUGUGUGAAAAUCAGGACAGCAAUGUGCUGUGCAGGGAAGUACCCAGGAAAGAUGAAAAAACAAUCAGGUUUCCUCAAAGAAGGCUGGAAAGAAGGCAGUCCAUUUCCAUUUUUCCUUCCUGAUUUGUAAACCACUCUGAGAACUUUUUUUGGGAGGGGGCACUGAAGA